rnacentral:rRNA from 1 species
UACGAAGGGAGCUAGCGUUGUUCGGAAUCACUGGGCGUAAAGCGCACGUAGGCGGAUGUGCCAGUCAGGGGUGAAAUCCCGGAGCUCAACUUCGGAACUGCCCUUGAUACAGCACGUCUUGAGUCCGAGAGAGGUGUGUGGAACUCCGAGUGUAGAGGUGAAAUUCGUAGAUAUUAGGAAGAACACCAGUGGCGAAGGCGGCUCACUGGUCCGGUACUGACGCUGAGGUGCGAAAGCGUGGGGAGCAAACAGG